UACGUAGGGGGCAAGCGUUGUCCGGAAUCAUUGGGCGUAAAGAGCGUGUAGGCGGCCCGAUAAGUCCGCUGUGAAAGUCCAGGGCUCAACCCUGGGAUGCCGGUGGAUACUGUCGGGCUCGAGUCCGGAAGAGGAGUGUGGAAUUCCUGGUGUAGCGGUGAAAUGCGCAGAGUAUCAGGAGGAACACCAAUGGCGAAGGCAGCACUCUGGGACGUGACUGACGCUGAGACGCGAAAGCGUGGGGAGCAAACAGG
rnacentral:rRNA from 1 species